AUGGGUAACUGGAAGCUUCAACCUUACAAGCCAUUUUAUACUUUUUCUCCAAAAAGAUUGUUGUGGUUCUUGGAUCUUAGAUAUAUAUCUAUGAUGAUUUUUAUUUUGCAUAAUAUCAUGUGUUUUAUUGUCAUAUAUGUAACACCCGUUAAUUUAAU